rnacentral:rRNA from 1 species
AGUUGCUAAUAUUAAGUUAAGGACUCAUUGAGACUGCCAGCGACAAGCUGGAGGAAGGUGGGGAUGACGUCAAAUCAUCAUGCCCUUUAUGACCUGGGCUACAAACGUACUACAAUGGCCAGAUACAAAGAGAUGCGAAGCCGCGAGGUGGAGCGAACCUCAUAAAAAUGGUCUCAGUUCGGAUUGGAGUCUGCAACUCGACUCCAUGAAGUCGGAAUCGCUAGUAAUCGCGGGUCAGCAGACCGCGGUGAAUACGUUCCCGGGUUU